rnacentral:rRNA from 1 species
CAAUAGCGUAUAUUAAAGUUGUUGCAGUUAAAAAGCUCGUAGUUGGAUUUCUGGUGGGAGCGAUCGGUCUGGCGCUUAGCGCGAGUACUUGCAUCGUCUCCGGCCAGCCUUGGGGAGAGUCUGUCUGGCAUUAAGUUGUCGGGCAGAGGAUCCUCAUCGUUUACUGUGAAAAAAUUAGAGUGUUCAAAGCAGGCUUAUGCCGUUGAAUAUAUUAGCAUGGAAUAAUAAGAUAGGACUUUGGUACUAUUUUGUUGGUUUGCGCACCAAAGUAAUGAUUAAUAGGGACAGUUGGGGGUAUUCGUAUUCCGUUGUCAGAGGUGAAAUUCUUGGAUUUACGGAAGACGAACUACUGCGAAAGCAUUUACCAAGGAUGUUUUCAUUAA